GGAAAAUUUACAUAACAUAAUUUUGCGGCACAUACUCGCAGGCAAAAUAUUAAACAAGGUCGUCAAUAUAUAAACCAUUAUUAUACCCAUGACAGAAUAAGGAUAUAUUCCUAGUCAGUGGUACCAAUACAUACAUGCAUUUGCCAAAUUGAUCAUGUAAACAAAUAAGAUAUUACUCACCUAAACAGACUUUACAAAAAUUAUGAAAGCAAGGCAAGCUUCUUGGUUCGUGUAGAGUUUCCAAACACAUGCAACAUGUGAGUAGUUCGUUGAUUUCAUCAACAGGAACACUUUCUGAUGAAGCACUUGCCAUUUCAAUUAAAUCUUUCUUACUUCACAAUUUAGAUAACAUAUUUGUGUUUUCUUUCCAACGA